AGUCUCCAGCUACCUUUGCCUCCUGCGGCCGCCCCCAGGCAGAGCUGCGAUCCCACCGCCGGGGGUGCAGGGAGAGGGAAGAUCUGGCCUCCUUGGUCCUUUUGCGUGGGCUCUUCAGAGCGUGAGCGCCGGGGAGGGACUCCGGAGAAAAGCUUGGGGGGCUGCGUAUUGCUGCUCCCCAAGCUGGGCGUCAGGACCAACCCCGCCGCCCCCACGGGCCUGACGGGAGAGGAGGAAGGGCUCGGGACGGUCGGCUCGCCGAGCCAACCAGGUGGCGCCUGAAGAGCUGUCCAUGGUGUCGACAGCCCAGCAAACGGCACCGAGUUCCUAGUCUGAGUGUCUGGAUAGGUAGCAGAAGAAAAACUAAUGCCUGCUCUGGGACAGUUCUGUUCGGUGCCUUUUCUUGUGUGUUCUGGAGCUCACAGGGUUCUAUCGAAGAGUGCUUAGGUGUAUACGAUGGAGAGUGGGACGUCACAAACCAGGAUCUCAAGGCUGAGUCCAACAAAACAUGGCCGUAGGGAGGCCACGACAGCUGUGGUUGUCACCGACGGAUGAAUAGCUUUUGCCAACCGUGGAAUUUAGUAACUAAAGGCACCUAACCCUUUUAUCUCAUCCUCAUUUUUCAACAAAUGGUGCUUCCUGGCUAAUAUCAGCGUGUCCCAUAGAUUUCUGCUUCCAUUGAAUAGACCUAAUAAGAAAGAGAAUGAAGUCAAAGCCAACAGGGCAGAAAGAAAUUGAAAACCUGAAGAACCCAGCACUCAAACUGUCUCCACUUGCGUUUGCUUUUUCUUUACCUCUUCUCCUUCUGGUUUUCAACAGCCAAAGCAGGAUUUAAAUUUGGUUAUGUUGCAAAAAUCAUUUCCCUCUUCAGGCCCUGUCAUGUGACUUGAUUUUUUCGUCCAUUUUAGAGAAGCUGUACCCACCCUGGUUUCAGGACACGGAACUAAAUUUAUUAGAAAAGAAGCCACUUCAAGUCAUGAAGGAGAAACACAAAGAUUCUUGGAUUUAGUUCUAAGAACUAGAGGGGAUUUCUAUGUCAGUACUGUCUCAGAAAAAACUGUUGAUAUCAAAUGUGUUGCUUGAGAAGUACCUUUUUUUUUUUGAGACGGAGUCUCGCUCUGUCCGCCCAGGCUAGAGUGCAGUGGCGCGAUCUCGGCUCACUGCAAGCUCCGCCUCCCGGGUUCACGCCGUUCUCCUGCCUCAGCCUCCCGAGUAGCUGGGAUUACAGGUGCCCACCACCACGCCCGGCUAAUUUUUGUAUUUUUAGUAGAGACAGGGUUUCACCGUGUUAGCCAGGAUGGUCUCGAUCUCCUGACCUCGUGAUCCACCCGCCUCGGCCUCCCAAAGUGCUGGGAUAACAGGCGUGAGCCAUCGCGCCCGGCCGAGAGGUACCUUUUAUGACAACUGAAAUCAUUCAGUUUCAAGAGGAGUUGGGUACUGAAACCAAACUUGCUUACUCCAAAGCCCAAAAUCCUUUCCACCAUGCCUGUGUGUCUGUAAGGCUACACUAGAAAUGCUUCCUUUCUUAUAGUGGGAAGCAUGGGUACUAAGCUCUUUUACGAACAAGUGUUCUGCAUAUUCCUGGUUCCUUUUUAUUUUGGACUGAGGAGAUUUAGGUCAAAAUUUCUGGGUUCUGGGUUGGAAUUCCAGCUUCUUUCUUCAAAUUAAACUGGGGGGUAGCAAGACUUAUUCCUAGAUUUGUUAGAAGGCCACAGCUUUUCCACAUCUCAUUUUAGUCAUGAAAAAGACACAUGCCCAGAGUUUGAAAAACAUAAAGGCAAUUUGACUAGUGGCUUGAUUGGUUCUAUCUUCUUUUUCUUGUCCCUCUUUCCUAUUUAUACUUCUACUUUUGUUACAGCAUUUGACAAUAGUUGGAAAAAUUUUCACUGACCUUGAAAUGUCUUUGGGAUAGGGUGACUUAAAAUAUAGGUUAAGUGGCAUACACAAACUUCUUAGUGAGAUCCUAAGGGCCUACAGAGACAGGCUGACACCAACUCAACCCUUGAAACUGUGCAAUGAAGAGCCUGUGGGAGGCUAAAAAACGCUACUUCAAAAAGAGAUCCUUGUCUGUGAAUGUUAAUUUAGGUUUACAGAUUUGAUUAAGGGUCUUGAGAUUAUUUUCAAUUAUCCAGGUGGGCCCUAGAGCCCUAGAUGCAAUCAUAAGUGUCCUUAUAACAGGGAGGCAGAGGAAAAUUAAACACGCACACAGGAGAGAGAGAGAGAGAAAAAAAAGUGAUGUGAAGACAGCAGCAGAGAUUGGAGCGAUGUGGCCAUAGCCAAGCUAUGUCAGCAGCCAUCAGAAGUUGGAAGAGGCAAGGAAGGAUUUGAGCCUAGAGCCUUUGGAAGGAGCAUGGCCCUGUUGGUUCUGGCCUCCAGAACUGCAAGAAAAUACAUUUUUGUUGUUUUAAACCACCCAGUUCAUGGUAAUUUGUAACACCAGCUACAAGAAAUUAACACAAGGCUGAUGUGACUUUCCAUCAGGAGAGAGACAGCCCCAGCCACCCUGUGAAGACGUGCCUUUCGUCAAGAUUGUAAGUUUCCUGAGGCCUUCCCACCCAUGCGGAACUAUUCAUGAACCAUUGUUUGGGGAAACAAUUGAUUACCUGUGGAGAAGAAAGACGUAAAAUAAAAUAGUUAAGACAGAAUAAAUUAAAGUAUUAAAAGCAAA
rnacentral:lncRNA from 1 species